AUGGAGGACGCCCGCAGCACGUGGGACAGCCCGAGCCACCCCACGCCAACAAUGGCAGCAGCAGGCUCGACGGCGAGCAUGAAGCUCUUCGUGGACGCGGGCGCGCGGCGCGUGGUGUUCGCGGAGGCCGGCAAGGACGUGGUCGACUUCCUCUUCUCCCUCCUGGCCCUGCCGCUCGGCCGGGCGGACCGGCUGCUCGCCCCGCUCGGCGGCGCGGGCGGCUCCGUCGGCAACCUCUACGCCAGCGUGGAGCGGCUGGACCCGGCGCACGUCCAGCCCGGCGUGGCCGACAAGAAGGCGCUCCUCCACCCCACCGUGCUCUCCCCGCCGGCGCGCGUCGAGCACAGCUUCCACCCGCGGAGGGAGCUCUACACGUGCCCUAGUGCCGGUAUCUACUGCUUGGAGUGCGCCAGGAACGUGACGGACUGGAAGGGCACCAGGUGCCCGUCCUGCGGCGACGAGAUGACGCUGGAGGCGCGGUACGUGCCGCCGGCGCCCAGGUUCUCAUCGACGGCCGGCAAAGGCGAGGCGGGCGUGGCCGCGCCAGAGGGGUUCGUCCGUGGCGGCGCCGCGACGAGGUACAUAGUGACGGAUGACCUCCAGGUCCGCCCGUCGUCGGCGGGCGAGCUGGUCGCGCUGUGCCCGGCCCUCGGCCCCGCGGAUGUCGGGGCGCUCCGGGAGCUCGACGUGCAGCUUGGGUUCAAGGAGGGCAAAGAGAUCCUCAAGGCCGUGAUGAUGCAGUCCAGGACCGUGCUCACCGACGUUUUCCGAGUAGCCCAGCGGAGGAAACUCUUGGGUGAGGAAGACAAGGAGAAAAAGACAGCAGAGCGGGCAGCAUCAUGA
rnacentral:rRNA from 1 species